rnacentral:rRNA from 1 species
ACGCUCGACACCUACAGGCAGCAGUGGGGAAUAUUGCACAAUGGGGGAAACCCUGAUGCAGCGAUGCCGCGUGAAGGAAGAAGUAUCUCGGUAUGUAAACUUCUAUCAGCAGGGAAGAAAAUGACGGUACCUGACUAAGAAGCCCCGGCUAACUACGUGCCAGCAGCCGCGGUAAUCUGAGCGGGCUGGCAAGGC